AAAAAUGUAUUAUCAUAAGAAGUGUAUUUUUUUAUUUAUAUAUUUUAUUAAAAAUUUCAUAGUGAAGUGGUGGUAGCAUAACUUAAACAUAAUUGUUACUAGUGUGAAAUUUUAGUGCUAUCUAGCUACAACACAAAAAGCUUAAAGGUAGUGUUGUGAUUUAUAAUUAAAAGGGAAAGAUUUUCAUGAAAACGAAUAGCGAGCCGAGAUGAUUUCCUCUUUCGCAUUAUAACCUCAUCCGCCGAAAUCUAUGGGUCAUGAGGUAUAUUGAAUGUAAUGGAUAUAAUUGUUUUAAAUUAUUCACAACAUAACCAAGGAAUUAACCACGCGAAGGUUUUAUAAACCACAUACUCGUAUAGAGAGUAGGUUACCACAACUCCAAGUACCUGAACAACAUUAUUAGAAGAUAGAUACAUUUUGUUUUAAAAGAUUUAUAAAAGAUACAUGUUUAACUGAAUAUUGUCUAUUAAAACUACGUAAAACAAU